UACGGAUCAAUAGAAGUCGUAGUCCUCGUAGGAUCUUAAAUCGUAGAAAAUUGACUAAUCGACGAUUAUUCUUCUCAUUCGACUAUGAUUGGUUAAUUUUCUACGACUUAAGACCCUACGACUGCUACGACUUUUGUUCUAGACUUUUGUUCUCCGCAUUACGUAUUCGAGAUUUAAAAAAUAAUCUUACGAUAUUACAAACGGAAACAAUUGAUGUUCAAAUAUUAAAGUGCUUUUACAUAACUCGUAAAUCGCAAAACGAAGUUCGCAAAUGCAGAGACAGAAUAAAGAUUUGCGUUUGUUUUUUCAUCGCAUACAGUUAGUUUUCAUCUAUGUGUGUUUUGCGUGCGAUGAUCAUCAUUCUGUUUCAGCAUUUACUCAGCACGAACUACGUUUUGAAUUUGCGAAUUAUAUAGAGACAUCCUUAAGGUCAACAAUUAAAUCAAAUACGGACGUCGGACACGCACGAUCCAACCGACCAAUAACUAUCCCAGUGAGAGGUGUAAGUUCGUAACGACCACCCUCGCAAACCGCAGAGAAUUCCCAAAAGGCUUGGAUCUGUGACGCAGAAAACCGCAAGAUUCGUAUCGUCCGAUGUGGACAUAGACAAGCUCUAUCUUGGGAAAACACUUCCGAAAUACGAUCAGAAUGAAAUCACUAAUUUGUGAUUUCGGAUCUGUCUGGAAUAACCGUAUCGAGGUGCAAUCUAGAAUUUCUGUGUGAGCGAGACGCAUUAUUUACAAAAUAGAUAUAUUGUUAAAGGGACACGGCGGAAAAUGAAAAUAAUGACAAUACAAUGACUAACACGGCCUGUUAUUACGAGUACACCAGUGGCAAUGUAACGGAUGGCAGCGUAAUCUAUUGGCCGGCUUUGUCCUUGCCCUCGAGGAAGUUGGCGAGCUUCCAGGUUCAAAGGUACCUCGUCGUUGGACCGAUCUCGGCGUCGCUCGUUACGAUCACAAACGACACAAUUGGGAAACCAAAAUAGAAUCAGCUCACCGUUCCAGGUAUACGGUUCACGAAUUAUAAUAA